UACAUGAUGGCGCAGUGGAUAGCGCUUCUGUUCUGCAGGAACAGGGUCGAGGGUUCGAAUCCGUAGUUAUGAGA